rnacentral:tRNA from 1 species
GCCGCGAUACGCCUCAGCUGGUAGAGCAUCUGCCGGUUACGCGGAGAUGUCGCCGGUUCGAUUCCGGUUCGCGGCG